GACGAACGCUGGCGGCGUGCUUAACACAUGCAAGUCGAACGGUGAAGCGCUUGCCUUUUUGGUGGGUGUGGAUGAGUGGCGAACGGGUGAGUAACACGUGAGUAACCUGCCCUCUUCUUCUGGAUAACCUCAUGAAAGUGGGGCUAAUACGGGGUAUUCCGGGUCUGUCGCAUGGCGGGUUUGGGAAAGAUUGCGCCUUUGGGUGUUUUCGGUGGGGGAUGGGCUCGCGGCCUAUCAGCUUGUUGGUGGGGUGAUGGCCUACCAAGGCGGUGACGGGUAGCCGGCCUGAGAGGGUGGACGGCCACACUGGGACUGAGACACGGCCCAGACUCCUGCGGGAGGCAGCAGUGGGGAAUAUUGCACAGUGGGCGCAAGCCUGAUGCAGCGACGCCGAGUGAGGGAUGGAGGCCUUCGGGUUGUGAACCUCUUUCGCCAGUGAAGCAGGCCUGCUCCUGUGUGGGUGGGUUGACGGUAGCUGGAUAAGAAGCGCCGGCUAACUACGUG
rnacentral:rRNA from 1 species